GUCUGGAUGGCCGAGUGGUCUAAGGCGCCAGACUCAAGUUCUGGUCUCCAUAUGGAGGCGUGGGUUCAAAUCCCACUUCUGACA
rnacentral:tRNA from 1 species